rnacentral:rRNA from 1 species
UAAGACGAACCGUGCGAACGUUGUUCGGAAUCACUGGGCUUAAAGGGCGCGUAGGCGGGCCGGUAAGUCCGGGGUGAAAGCCCCCAGCUCAACUGGGGAAGCGCCUUGGAUACUGCCGGCCUCGAGGGGGGUAGGGGCGUGCGGAACUUCCGGUGGAGCGGUGAAAUGCGUAGAUAUCGGAAGGAACACCGGUGGCGAAAGCGGCGCGCUGGACCCCCACUGACGCUGAGGCGCGAAAGCCAGGGGAGCAAACGGGAUUAGAUACCCCGGUAGUCCUGGCCCUAAACGUUGGGUACUAGGUUGUGGACUUUUGUGGGUUCACAGCCGAAGCAAAAGUGUUAAGUACCCCGCCUGGGGAGUAUGGUCGCAAGGCUG